UAGCGGCGGACGGGUGAGUAACACGUGGGUAACCUGCCUGUAAGACUGGGAUAACUCCGGGAAACCGGAGCUAAUACCGGAUAGUUCCUUGAACCGCAUGGUUCAAGGAUGAAAGACGGUUUCGGCUGUCACUUACAGAUGGACCCGCGGCGCAUUAGCUAGUUGGUGAGGUAACGGCUCACCAAGGCGACGAUGCGUAGCCGACCUGAGAGGGUGAUCGGCCACACUGGGACUGAGACACGGCCCAGACUCCU
rnacentral:rRNA from 1 species